GUGGAUUAGAUACCCUGGUAGUCCACGCCCUAAACGAUGUCGACUGGUUGUUGGGAGAUUUAUUCUCUUAGUAACGAAGCUAACGCGUGAAGUCGACCGCCUGGGGAGUACGGUCGCAAGAUUAAAACUCAAAGGAAUUGACGGGGGCCCGCACAAGCGGUGGAUGAUGUGGUUUAAUUCGAUGCAACGCGAAAAACCUUACCUACCCUUGACAUGUCCGAGAUCCCGAAGAGAUUUGGGAGUGCUCGAAAGAGAAUCGGAACACAGGUGCUGCACGGCCGUCGACAGCU
rnacentral:rRNA from 1 species